AAAUUGAAGAGUUUGAUCAUGGCUCAGAUUGAACGCUGGCGGCAGGCCUAACACAUGCAAGUCGAACGGUAACAGGAAGCAGCUUGCUGCUUUGCUGACGAGUGGCGGACGGGUGAGUAAUGUCUGGGAAACUGCCUGAUGGAGGGGGAUAACUACUGGAAACGGUGGCUAAUACCGCAUAACGUCGCAAGACCAAAGAGGGGGACCUUCGGGCCUCUUGCCAUCAGAUGUGCCCAGAUGGGAUUAGCUGGUUGGUGAGGUAACGGCUCACCAAGGCGACGAU
rnacentral:rRNA from 1 species